GUGAACGCUGGCGGUAGGCCUAACACAUGCAAGUCGAACGGCAGCACAGUAAGAGCUUGCUCUUACGGGUGGCGAGUGGCGGACGGGUGAGGAAUACAUCGGAAUCUACUUUUUCGUGGGGGAUAACGUAGGGAAACUUACGCUAAUACCGCAUACGACCUACGGGUGAAAGCAGGGGAUCUUCGGACCUUGCGCGAUUGAAUGAGCCGAUGUCGGAUUAGCUAGUUGGCGGGGUAAAGGCCCACCAAGGCGACGAUCCGUAGCUGGUCUGAGAGGAUGAACAGCACCCCGGGAACUGGGACACGGCCCAGACUCCUCGGGGAGGCAGCAGGGGGAAAUUUUGGACAAGGGGCGCAACCCUGACCCAGCCAUCCCGGGUGGGUGAAGAAGGCCUUCGGGUUUUAACGCCUUUUUUUUGGGAAAAAAAAGCAGCAGGUUAAUCCCCCGCUGUUCUGACGGUACCAAAAGAAUAAGCACCGGCUAACUUCGU
rnacentral:rRNA from 1 species